ACUCCUACGGGAGGCAGCAGUAGGGAAUCUUCCACAAUGGACGAAAGUCUGAUGGAGCAACGCCGCGUGAGUGAAGAAGGGUUUCGCUCGUAAAACUCUGUUGUUAAAGAAGAACAUAUCUGAGAGUAACUGUUCAGGUAUUGACGGUAUUUAACCAGAAAGCCACGGCUAAACUACGUGCCAGCAGCCGCGGUAAUACGUAGGUGGCAAGCGUUGUCCGGAUUUAUUGGGCGUAAAGCGAGCGCAGGUCGGUUUUUAAGUCUGAUGUGAAAGCCUUCGGCUCAACCGAAGAAGUGCAUCGGAAACUGGGAAACUUGAGUGCAGAAGAGGACAGUGGAACU
rnacentral:rRNA from 1 species